rnacentral:rRNA from 1 species
UACGGAGGGGGCGAGCGUUAUUCGGAAUUAUUGGGCGUAAAGAGCUCGUAGGCGGUUUGUCGCGUCGAAUGUGAAAACCCGGGGCUCAACCCCGGGCCUGCAUUCGAUACGGGCAGACUAGAGUUCGGUAGGGGAGUCUGGAAUUCCUGGUGUAGCGGUGAAAUGCGCAGAUAUCAGGAAGAACACCCGUGGCGAAGGCGGCUCUCUGGGACGGUACUGACGCUGAGACGCGAAAGCGUGGGGAGCGAACAGG